GGUAGGAUAGAGGCCUACCAUGGUGGUAACGGGUAACGGGGUGUUAGGGCACGACACCGGAGAGGGAGCCUGAGAAACGGCUACCACAUCCAAGGAUGGCAGCAGGCGCGCAAAUUACCCAAUCCCGACACGGGGAGGUAGUGACAAUAAAUAACAAUACGGGGUUCUUUCGGAUUUCGUAAUUGGAAUGAGUACAAUUUAAAUCUCUUAACGAGGAACAAUUGGAGGGCAAGUCUGGUGCCAGCAGCCGCGGUAAUUCCAGCUCCAAUAGCGUAUGUUAAAGUUGCUGCAGUUAAAAAGCUCGUAGUUGAAUUUCGGGACCAUCAUGUCGGUCGUGCCUCGGUACGUACUGGCAUUGUUGGUUUCUCCCUUCUGACGAACCAUGAUGUCAUUUAUUUGGUGUUGUGGGGAAUCAGGACUGUUACUUUGAAAAAAUUAGAGUGUUUAAAGCAGGCUCACGCUUGAAUACAUUAGCAUGGAAUAAUGAAAUAGGACGUUUGAUUCUAUUUUGUUGGUUUCUAGGAUCGACGUAAUGAUUAAUAGGGAUAGUUGGGGGCAUUAGUUUUCAAUUGUCAGAGGUGAAAUUCUUGGAUUUAUUGAAGACUAACUACUGCGAAAGCAUUUGCCAAGGAUGUUUUCAUUAAUCAAGAACGAAAGUUAGGGGAUCGAAGACGAUCAGAUACCGUCGUAGUCUUAACCAUAAACUAUGCCGACUAGGGAUCGGAUGAUGUUAAUUUUUUAAUGACUCAUUCGGCGCCUUACGGGAAACCAAAGUGUUUGGGUUC
rnacentral:rRNA from 1 species